rnacentral:rRNA from 1 species
GUAGGUGGCAAGCGUUGUCCGGAAUUAUUGGGCGUAAAGCGCGCGCAGGCGGUUCUUUAAGUCUGAUGUGAAAGCCCACGGCUCAACCGUGGAGGGUCAUUGGAAACUGGAGAACUUGAGUACAGAAGAGGAAAGCGGAAUUCCACGUGUAGCGGUGAAAUGCGUAGAGAUGUGGAGGAACACCAGUGGCGAAGGCGGCUUUCUGGUCUGUAACUGACGCUGAGGCGCGAAAGCGUGGGGAGCAAACAGGAUUAGAUACCCCGGUAGUCCACGCCGUAAACGAUGAGUGCUAAGUGUUAGGGGGGUUUCCGCCCCCUUAGUGCUGCAGCUAACGCAUUAAGCACUCCGCCUGGGGAUACGGCCGCAAGGCUG